UAACACUCUGGCCACAUAGGUAUAUUUGCCAGUCGCCAUGAUGAGACAAACAUACCACACCAUUUGCCAUGAGUACAACCACCCAACAUUGGCAUCUACGAAAGAAGGUGGUACAAAGCAUGCAAGCACCCAAGACGUUAGCAAGAAACACUCUGGUUGUUUGCUGAAACUUGUAAUGAAAGCUACACACAAUUUAAGGAGCAUAUGACAGGCUCAAAUGGAUGUGAUGCUAACAGUUCCAUCUGUGUGGACAUGAUGUGAUGGACAUGUCCAAUCCAUGGUUAGCAGAAGGUGGCGAUGCUCAGAGCUCUGCAGCAAGUGAUUGAGCC
rnacentral:lncRNA from 1 species